rnacentral:rRNA from 1 species
UACGGGGGGUGCGAGCGUUGUCCGGAAUCACUGGGCGUAAAGGGCGCGUAGGUGGUUUGAUAAGGGUGUGGUGAAAGCCCGGGGCUCAACCCCGGGUCUGCCGUGCCGACUGUCAAACUCGAGGGCUGUAGAGGCAGACGGAAUUCCGGGUGUAGCGGUGGAAUGCGUAGAGAUCCGGAGGAAGACCGGUGGCGAAGGCGGUCUGCUGGGCAGUUUCUGACACUGAGGCGCGACAGCGUGGGGAGCAAACAGG